GAAAUGCGAUAAUUAAUGUGAAUUGCAGAAUUCAGUGAAUCAUCGAGUCUUUGAACGCACAUUGCGCCCCCUGGUAUUCCGGGGGGCAUGCCUGUCCGAGCGUCAUUGCUGCCCUCAAGCACGGCUUGUGUGUUGGGCUUCCGUCCCUGGCAACGGGGACGGGCCCAAAAGGCAGUGGCGGCACCAUGUCUGGUCCUCGAGCGUAUAGGGCUUUGUCACCCGCUCCCGUAGGUCCAGCUGGCAGCUAGCCUCGCAACCAAUCUUUUUAACCAGGUUGACCUCGGAUCAGGUAGGGAUACCCGCUGAACUUAAGC
rnacentral:misc_RNA from 1 species